AUUGAACGCUGGCGGCAGGCCUAACACAUGCAAGUCGAGCGGAUGAAGGGAGCUUGCUCCUGGAUUCAGCGGCGGACGGGUGAGUAAUGCCUAGGAAUCUGCCUGGUAGUGGGGGAUAACGUCCGGAAACGGGCGCUAAUACCGCAUACGUCCUGAGGGAGAAAGUGGGGGAUCUUCGGACCUCACGCUAUCAGAUGAGCCUAGGUCGGAUUAGCUAGUUGGUGGGGUAAAGGCCUACCAAGGCGACGAUCCGUAACUGGUCUGAGAGGAUGAUCAGCGACACUGGAACUGAGACACGGUCCAGACUCCUACGGGAGACAGCAGUGGGGAAUAUUGGACAAAGGGCGAAAGCCUGAUCCAGCCAUGCCGCGUGUGUGAAGAAGGUCUUCGGAUUGUAAAGCACUUUAAGUUGGGAGGAAGGGCAGUAAGUUAAUACCUUGCUGUUUUGACGUUACCAACAGAAUAAGCACCGGCUAACUUCGUG
rnacentral:rRNA from 1 species